UACGGAGGGGGCUAGCGUUGUUCGGAAUUACUGGGCGUAAAGAGCUCGUAGGCGGUGUGUCGCGUCGGCCGUGAAAACCUGCAGCUUAACUGUGGGCUUGCGGUCGAUACGGGCAUCACUGGAGUUCGGCAGGGGAGACUGGAAUUCCUGGUGUAGCGGUGAAAUGCGCAGAUAUCAGGAGGAACACCGGUGGCGAAGGCGGCAUCCUGGACCGGUAUUGA
rnacentral:rRNA from 1 species